rnacentral:ncRNA from 2 species
AAGGCACGCGCGGGAGAGUGUUGGGCUUCACCCAAAUCGUAGCUGGCUGGCCAGCGGUUCGAUCUGGGCGAGAAAACCCCACCGCCGAAGGAGCAACCGCCCCGGAAUCUCUCAGGCACCCAGGACCGCGCGGGGCCA